AGCAGGAACCUAACGUCUCUAGUCUUUCAUGCGUCCACUUCCUCCUGUUAAAAGGAGUUUUAACAUGGACAAAUCUGGGGACGUGCCUCUUGAUAAGAUCAUGAUGAUAUAUCUAAUGCCCAAUAGGUUGCGUGCAUAAAAGGCUCUCACACCCUUAAUCUCUCUCUCUCUCUCUCUCUCUCUCUCUCAAGUGGUUUCACGCCCCAAGGC
rnacentral:lncRNA from 1 species